GCAAACUUUAAUUUUUAGUUAAACUAUUUUAGUAAAAAAUUAGUAUAAAUACCUCUUGCUUACAUAGGAUAAAAAAUAGUUAGUGCAAAAAGGGAAACUACUAGGAUUCUUGUAUUUUCCCCUACAGGAAUUUACACCCGUACGUCAACAAGAUUUUUUCAAUUAAAACCAAGAUUUCUGUGGCAUAUUCCGAUGGGCGUAACUACUAGGUGAGAUAAAUUUUCAAAAAAAUCAAUAACUAAAUAGAGGUAAACACAUUUAGUCUGAGCAUUUGCAUCUGCCAAAAUAUUCAUUUGGUGACGAGAUGUAUUAUUUUCGAACUGAUCCUGUAACCAAGCGACCAAAUAUUGCCUGACCUUGGGAAUGCGAUGAGUGCAUUUUGCUUGAACAUUUUUUAUUUAACACAAGAGAAGUUCGAAGCUCGAAAGAUUGCGUUAUGAGCCGCAAGAAUUCUGAGUGGAAUAACAUAAUGCUGUCGAUCAUCGUUAAUAACGAUUAUCAAGCAUGUGUUUUAACUCAUCCGCGUGAGCCGCUCCGAAACGCAUUAUCAAAAGAGGCAACCUGGUAUAUAUUAGUACAAGCAUUUAAUAUUUGCUGCUUACACAAAACUCCACAAUACAGAUAUCCGAAGCACAACACUUUUAAUUUCUAUAGCUUGUCAACUCAUUUCCACGGCUAUUCCGCACUUGCUUCAAAUUGAAACCUUUUUUUUAGUAUGUAUUCUGUUAUUAAAUUAUAACUAAAAUUUUUAUAUUUAUUUUUAGAAAUUAAGCAAAAAAAAAAUGGUUGGGCAUCAGUUAAAGUAAAUGUUUUUUAGAAACCGGAACGUACGAGGCAUAUCCAAAAAACAAUAUUUGCAUGGGCUUGGCCAAAUACUGUUAUCGUUAAUUGCGAAAUUCGAAAAAAAUCAACAAGAAGCCUGAUACGUAGUAGGCAUUAUCACUGGGAGACCCGGCCACACGUUCUUAGAUUCCCAUCAAGUGAUAAGUGAAUCCAUCCAAAUACAUAGUGUAAAUGUAAUGAAUAUAAUGGUUUAGGAGCUGUUUGAUGUCAUAAUGGGUAAGUACCAAUCCCGAUUUUAUUGACAGCGAAUCUGAAAUAGAGUUUCAGUGGGAUGGAGAUAAGAAUCACAUUUCAAAAGUCGACCCUAAAUGUUUGGCUGACCAAAGUUUUCAAUUGAUGAAGCCCUGUCCUCAACCCAAAGUGUCGAACUAUAUAUUCGAAGAAAUUUUUA